rnacentral:rRNA from 1 species
CAGUCGCCGCGGGAAUACGAAGGGGGCUAGCGUUGCUCGGAAUGACUGGGCGUAAAGGGCGCGUAGGCGGCGAUCAAAGUCAGGCGUGAAAUUCCUGGGCUCAACCUGGGGGCUGCGUUUGAUACUUGAUUGCUAGAGUGGGGAAGAGGGUCGUGGAAUUCCCAGUGUAGAGGUGAAAUUCGUAGAUAUUGGGAAGAACACCGGUGGCGAAGGCGGCGACCUGGUCCUUGACUGACGCUGAGGCGCGAAAGCGUGGGGAGCAAACAGGAUUAGAUACCCCGGUAGUCCCUGUCUCUUAUAA